AUUGAACGCUGGCGGCAGGCCUAACACAUGCAAGUCGAACGAGUGGCGGACGGGUGAGUAAUGUAUAGGGAACUGCCUGAUGGAGGGGGAUAACUACUGGAAACGGUAGCUAAUACCGCAUACCAUCGGAUGUGCCCAUAGGGGAUUAGCUAGUAGGUGGGGUAAAGGCUCACCUAGGCGACGAUCCCUAGCUGGUCUGAGAGGAUGACCAGCCACACUGGAACUGAGACACGGCCCAGACUCCUACGGGAGGCAGCAGUGGGGAAUAUUGCACAAUGGGCGCAAGCCUGACGCAGCCAUGCCGCGUGAAUGAAGAAGGCCUUCGGGUUGUAAAGUACUUUCGGUGGCGAGGCGUUAACCGCAGAAGAAGCAACGGCUAACUCCGUGCCAGCAGCCGCGGUAAUUC
rnacentral:rRNA from 1 species